UCCAGUUCAGACCUCGGAACCUCACUCUGAGCUGAGGAUAUCAACAGGGCUCCCUGGAGAGCAGGUGUCACCAGCAGCGCUGGUGGCAGGGCCAGCCUGCAAGGGAGCACAAGAAAGAGACAGGUUUAUAGAAGCACUGCAGCUUGGUUUGUUGAACCAAGGAUUUGAUUUAUUUCUAGCCAGGAUCAGGAAAGGAAUUUAGCCUUGAUUAGAGGUGGGGUUUAGCUAACUUUACAAGAGGGUUUCUUGGGGAAGAACAGCUGAAACAGGGGACAGACCAUGAGGAAGCAUGCUCUGCUGUGGGAAGAGAUACCAGGAGACACGUUUCUAAGCCAAAGGCAAAUGAAUUGUGUUAUGAGGAAACAGUGAAGGUAAAGAGCUGGAGAAGGGAAAGCAGCAAGAAGAGAGACAGCAAGAACAUGGAAGCACUACCUCCUCCUUGGAUUUCACACCCUGGAUUAUGCUCCUAUCUCCUGAGCUCAGAAUUGGUUGUGAACUUGCAAGAACUUUGCCUGGAAACCAUAGGGAAAGCAAGAGGAUCUUGGCCAGGGAUGGCACCACUGCAAGAAGCCUUCCUGAGUUCCCUGAGCAGAGCUGCAUUCCUCUGGACACAGUGUUCUUCAAGGAUCUCUAUGAAUGGAUAAUGGAGAAAGUAGUAGGCAGAAACUGCAGCAGAGACAUGAAGGCAGUGUAAGUACACAGCAACUGUGCUUUUUAGAUGAAGUGUAACAAUUAACAUUUGCUUCUCACACAGCAGUUAAUUUUGUUGUCAAAGAGGGAGUUUCUUAAAAUAUGUAUUCUUAUAUCAGAGACAAGGUCAGGAUUUGGCCAAUAACAUGAUCCUGGAAAAUCAGCCUCAAAUCUGAAGUACAUAAACAUGCAAAUCAUGCCUGGAUGGAGAGUGGUGUUAAAAAACAACAGUCGAACAGGCUCAUAGAGGUGACAGUGCCUCCCUCAGGAGUCCAUCCUGAUGAUGGACUUCAGCAUGGCUGAAGUGAUCCAUUUAUGAGUUAAUGCUAUUCCUCUGCUGAUUGGGUAAUAGCUAGUUAGAGAAGCAAACAGAAGAGUAGGGUACAUAUCACUUCUCUCAGACUGAUGGAUAAAACCAAAUCCUUGUCCUUGCAGCACUACUGUGUUGGAUUAUUUUUUUCACAGUAACAGUGACUUUCUAAAAAUCGUUACAGCUCUUAUAGAACACCUGUGGUCCAGAGAAGGCUGAAAUUACCCAGCAAGGACUGAAAAAAAUGGAGCUUUCAGUCACCCUUCAGGCUGUACCACAAGGUCACUUUGGAUCUUUCUGAGUCCUGCUGAAGCUUCUGACCAAAAUUCAUCUUCCUCAUUUUUAAUCUAAAUCAGCAGCCAUUAGGAAAGAAAACAACAUCUGGGCAAGCCAAGCUUAAAGCAUUUGCAUGGAGCCCUGCUCGGAGAAAAUGUGAAGGGAAAUAGUGCAGCCAGCAAUGCCACCUAGCUGCUGCUCUGCCUGCAGGCGCUGCUUGCCCACUAGCCCGCACGGCCCUUCUUGAAUUGACAACCGGUUAUUAUUCCUUCUGCUGGAAAACAGGCUUGUUUUCUUUUAGGACAUGAGAUAAAAGGCUGGUGUUUCUUCACCAGUUGUAUUUUAUUAUACUUUUGAUCAGUUCUUGUUUUAUUCAUUCUGCUUUCCUCCUUUCUUCUGAUUUUAAUCAGUUCAGAUUUCAAUCAGCUGUUGCUGUUAUUGCCUCCUCUCCUCUUUCCACCAGCACAGAAAACACUCUCCCCUCCCUGCUCCUCACUACCUGCAUGCCUGAACUUCACCAGCCACUUUUUCACUCCAUUUAACCUUCCUAAUAGUAAACAUAACUUUUCAUUUCACAAAGCAAACAUGGACUACUGUGUAGUAAUUUCCAGAACCUUUAGAAAAAUAAAUGACUGGGCCCAUUCCUCAGACCAUCUAGUCAGCCCUAGAUUAUAGCAUUUGUACACGUUGCCUCUCUGUUGUCCCAGGAAGCUAACAAUUAGGA